rnacentral:tRNA from 1 species
AAGGGAGACCUAAUUCAGGUAGGAGACGAAAAAAAAGUAGUCCCUACCAAGAAUCAAUCCCAAAAGGUCGGAGCGAGGCAAAAUUGGCUUUCAAACUAGGUUCUGGGUUCACACAAGACCUGAAUCUGGAACAAGGGCUAUUAGCUCAGGUGGUUAGAGCGCACCCCUGAUAAGGGUGAGGUCCCUGGUUCGAGUCCAGGAUGGCCCACCUGUACAGGUGGCAAAGACAAAGAAAAGAAGCGAGGAAUCAGCACCUUAUCUUACUUAUAUAGUAAGAGAGAAUGCUGGCUCUGAGUAAAGAGUCCAGAGGAACCUUGAAAACUGCAUAGAGCUAGGUGAAAAAGCCAAAAAAGAAGACCGCAA